rnacentral:rRNA from 1 species
CCUACGGGAGGCUGCAGUGGGGAAUAUUGGACAAUGGGGGGAACCCUGAUCCAGCCAUGCCGCGUGUGUGAAGAAGGCCCCCGGGUUGUAAAGCACUUUCAGUGAGGAAGAACGCCUGGUGGUUAAUACCCAUCAGGAAAGACAUCACUCACAGAAGAGCACCGGCUAACUCCGUGCCAGCAGCCGCGGUAAUACGGAGGGUGCGAGCGUUAAUCGGAAUUACUGGGCGUAAAGCGCGCGUAGGUGGCUUGAUAAGCCGGUUGUGAAAGCCCCGGGCUCAACCUGGGAACGGCAUCCGGAACUGUCAAGCUAGAGUGCAGGAGAGGAAGGUAGAAUUCCCGGUGUAGCGGUGAAAUGCGUAGAGAUCGGGAGGAAUACCAGUGGCGAAGGCGGCCUUCUGGACUGACACUGACACUGAGGUGCGAAAGCGUGGGUAGCAAACAGGAUUAGAUACCCCAGUAGUC